UUACGUUAAUUAAAAAUUGCAUUUCUCUGGCGUUCGUAAAUGCGAAAAAAAUUCUUCGCAGCACAAUCGCAAUGGCAAGGCAGUAGAAUCAGCUGAUUGUGUAGUAGCAACCACAGCCGGAAAGAAUGCAGCAGGGUUGCAAGGACGCAUUUAUGUAUGUGCUGAAUAAAAUCAAAGACAAAUUUCAUUGCCAGAUGUCGUCUUCCAUAACGCCGAUGUUAAAAUUGUGUGCCGCGCUCAGAUUUUUUGCACAUGUCAGUUACCAACAAGCUAUAGGGAAUGAAUUUCAGUUGGGACUUGCUCAGCCAACAGUUUCCCUUAUUUAUUCAAGAUCGGGAAUACCAAAUGCAAUAGGCUGCAUCGAUGGAACCCAUAUUGCGAUUUAUGCUCCUACCACAAACAAACACCUCUAUCUAAACAGAAAAGGAUUUUUUAGCAUAAAUGCAAUGAUUGCUUGUGAUCAUGAUAUGAAUAUCCGUUUUUAUGGAACAAUAGUUCUCUAAAGGCAUGUUUAGAGGCAGCGCAUCAAAACGGAGAUCAGAACUCUAUUUAUUUAGGUGACUCCGGAUACCCACUAACCCCUUAUUUAUUAACACCUUUCCGUCAUGCAGAAUCUGGAACUAGGGAGUCAAUUUUUAAUAAGAAGCACGCGAAAGCCAGAAAUGUUGUUGAACGUACGAUUGGAGUUUUGAAAUGCCGUUUCAGAUGUCUUCUGAGUGAUAGAAAAAUGCGCUACGAUCCUGCUAAAGUAACAUCCGUUAUUAAUAUGCGCUGCGCCUUUCACAACAUUUGUAAAAAAUUUAGAAUCGGUGAUCCGGAGGAGGCUGAAAUCUUCUUUGAUGCCGUUAUACCAUUGGAACCAAUUAAUAAAAAUGGCAAUGCUUCACCAGGAGAGCGCCGCAGAAAACAAAUUGCUGAUGCUUUGAUGUAAAUGAAACUAUACCGACUUCAGUGAAUAAUAUAUUGUAUUCUUUUAUUUUAUUCAAUACUAUGAAAUUCAAUAUUACACAGAUAA